UGGGGAGUAUUGCACAAUGGGCGCAAGCCUGAUGCAGCCAUGCCGCGUGUAUGAAGAAGGCCUUCGGGUUGUAAAGUACUUUCAGCGGGGAGGAAGGGAGUAAAGUUAAUACCUUUACUCAUUGACGUUACCCGCAGAAGAAGCACCGGCUAACUCCGUGACAGCAGCCGCGGUAAUACGGAGGGUGCAAGCGUUAAUCGGAAUUACUGGGCGUAAAGCGGACGCAGGCGGUUUGUUAAGUCAGAUGUGAAAUCCCCCGGCUCAACCUGGGAACUGCAUCUGAUACUGGCAAGCUUGAGUCUCGUAGAGGGGGGUAGAAUUCCAGGUGUAGCGGUGAAAUGCGUAGAGAUCUGGAGGAAUACCGGUGGCGAAGGCGGCCCCCUGGACGGAGACUGACGCUCAGGUGCGAAAGCGUGGGGAGCAAACAGG
rnacentral:rRNA from 1 species